GCCUUCGUGGUGUAGUGGUCAGCAUGCUCAACGUGUAACUGAGAGGUUCAUGGUACAAUUCCCGGCGAAGGCG
rnacentral:tRNA from 1 species